rnacentral:lncRNA from 1 species
UGUACAGUAAUGGAAUGUUGUAAUGACCCACAAGGUCCAUGAGUUUCUUGGAAGUGACAUUGCAAAUACAUGCAGGAAAUGGCUAGGAGUGUUGGUCUGAUAUUGUUGGCACAUACUUCUGCUUUGAGUACAAACUGGCGAAGGGGUUCCAACUUGGUGUCUGUGUUUAUGUAGUGUGCUAACUCCAUGGAGAGUGAUGCAGGAUAAUCAGGUAGCUAAAC